CAAAAGAGUUAUCCGUACUUCUGUUAAUGAUGUUAUCAUGCUGGCCAUACUUCUGUUUACCCUGUGCAAAGACGAAGCAUGCUCCCAAAGCUGGAAAAAAAGUGUCCUAUGAAAAAGUCUCAGCAUUAAACUGGAAGCCAAGAUAUGGAUGUGACUGGGGACAACAGCCCGUGCACACUUUAGCCCUUGAGUUUGACACCAAUCUUCCAUCCACACAUGCCCCUGCUCUACC
rnacentral:lncRNA from 1 species